UACUGGUUUAAUAUCUGAUAUAUCCUCUAUCUGAGGACAAUAUAUUAAAUGGGUUUUGGAGCUGGGAGAUGGAAUGGGAGCUUGCUCUGUCCACGCCACACAUUGACUUGGUAUUACAGUACCUCCAAGAAUGGAGC
rnacentral:snRNA from 1 species